UUUCCGUAGGUGAACCUGCGGAGGGAUCAUUACAGAGUUCUCGCCCUCGCGGGUAGAUCUCCCACCCACUGUUAUCGUUACUGUGUUGCUUUGGCGGGCCGCCGGGCCCCGCUCGGCCGCCGGCUCCGGCUGGCUCGCGCCCGCCAGAGGCCCAGCAAACUCUGAAUGUUAGUGUCGUCUGAGUACUAUAUAAUAGUUAAAACUUUCAACAACGGAUCUCUUGGUUCUG
rnacentral:misc_RNA from 1 species